UUUUAGACUUACCUUAAAUUUUUAGAUCUAAUUUAAAUAAAUAAAAAUUAAAAACAAUCGACCAAUCAAAUUAUAACAAUUUUUUUUGAAACUUCACCUAUAAGCGACACGUCACCAGACCUCACUAAAAAGACUUCUCUUUUAAUAUAUAGGGGGAUUGUGUUAUUAUCUGGAAAUAAUGUUUUCUAUUAUAAAAAAAAAUUAGGAUAUAAAAUAUCUUAUAAAUAAAUAAAAAUAAAGCAAAAAAAAUUAUAAAGAUACUUUCUAAAAUAUUUUUAAUAUGUGAAUUUCUUUUUUAAAAAAGCAAUACAAUAAUAAUAAACAAAUAUUGAUAAAUAAUUUGAUGUUUAAAUUAAAUUUAUAAGAACAUAAAUAAUAAUUUAUUAUGUUGGGUUUUUAAAUUUAAUAAUGUAUGAAAUAAUAAGUAUUCGUGAGAAAAUUAUAUCCGCCUGUGUGAACAAAUCACCUAGCUUAUUUAAUGAAAAUAACUGUAAAAAUGGCAUGUUCCAAAAUCACUCAACAAAUAAUAUGGAGGGGAUUACAAGACUGACAUUGACACUGGGGCCUGCUUCUUGAUAUUAAGCUAGAAUGAGAAUCACGUUGUCGAUUGACCCGUAACCACUCAUUUGAGUACUAAAAAAAAGUGUCCCCGGACACGCCUAUAGCUUUUGCAUAACCACGUUAUCAAUCAACCACUUUAUAAGUAUAACCAGGGUCUGAGUGAAUGUAAUGUUGCUUUGGAAACUCCGAUCUUGAGAUCAAAUCCACAUUGCGCCAAAAAAAAAGGGAAACAAAAGAAUAAAAAAUGAGAGUGGCGGUGAUCGGAGGUGGAGUUUGUGGAUUAGGAAGUGCCUACGUUCUUGCAAGAGAAGAUGGAAUCGAGGAGGUGGUGUUGUUCGAGAAGGAGGAGUCCGUUUUAGGAGGCCAUGCUAAAACGAUGCGUCUCGAUGGCGUUUGAUUUAGACGUUGGAUUCAUAGUCUGCAACCCUGUACGUUUGUCUCUCUUUUUCUCGAACUAAUAGUAAAUAACCAUGCUAGUUAUAUAAAUGGAAACCGGGCUUUUACAA